rnacentral:rRNA from 1 species
UACGUAGGGACCGAGCGUUGUCCGGAAUCAUUGGGCGUAAAGAGCGUGUAGGCGGCCUGUUUAAGUCUUGCGUGAAAUCUCGGGGCUCAACCCCGAGCGGUCGUGAGAAACUGGCAGGCUAGAGUGCGGGAGAGGAGAGUGGAAUUCCUGGUGUAGCGGUGAAAUGCACAGAUAUCAGGAGGAACACCGAUGGCGAAGGCAGGUCUCUGGGCCACUACUGACGCUGAGAAGCGAAAGCAUGGGGAGCGAACAGG